rnacentral:rRNA from 1 species
GACGAACGCUGGCGGCGUGCUUAACACAUGCAAGUCGAACGGAAAGGCCCUGCUUUUGUGGGUUGCUCGAGUGGCGAACGGGUGAGUAACACGUGAGUAACCUGCCCUUGCCUUUGGGAUAACUUCAGGAAACUGGGGCUAAUACCGGAUAGGAGCUCCUGCUGCAUGGUGGGGGUUGGAAAGUUUCGGCGGUUGGGGAUGGACUCGCGGCUUAUCAGCUUGUUGGUGGGGUAGUGGCUUACCAAGGCUUUGACGGGUAGCCGGCCUGAGAGGGUGACCGGCCACAUUGGGACUGAGAUACGGCCCAGACUCCUACGGGAGGCAGCAGUGGGGAAUAUUGCACAAUGGGCGGAAGCCUGAUGCAGCAACGCCGCGUGCGGGAUGACGGCCUUCGGGUUGUAAACCGCUUUCGCCUGUGACGAAGCGUGAGUGACGGUAAUGGGUAAAGAAGCACCGGCUAACUACGUG